AUGUGCGAUGCUAGUGAUUAUGCUGUAGGUGCUGUUUUAGGGCGAAGAGUCGAUAAGAAAUUGAAUGUUAUCCAGUAUGCUAGUAAGACUCUUGAUACUGCCCAGAGAAAUUAUGCUACUACUGAAAAAGAGUUCUUAGCAGUUGUGUUUGCAUGUGAUAAGUUUAGAACAUAUAUUGUUGAUUCCAAAGUUACUAUUCACACUGAUCAUGCUGCUAUUAAAUAUCUUAUGGAAAAGAAAGAUGCUAAGCCUAGACUCAUUAGAUGGGUUCUCUUGCUCCAAGAAUUUGACUUGCAUAUUAUUGAUAGAAAGGGAGAUGAGAAC
rnacentral:rRNA from 1 species